rfam:Dipodomys ordii contig_40288, whole genome shotgun sequence.
GGGAAUGCGGCUUAGUGGUAGAGUGCUUGCCUAGCAUGCAUGAAGCCGUGGGUUCGAUUCCUCAGUACCA